rnacentral:rRNA from 1 species
AGAGUUUGAUCAUGGCUCAGAACGAACGCUGGCGGCGUGGAUAAGACAUGCAAGUCGAACGGGACCAAAUUAGUAGCAAUACCGGUUUGGUUCAGUGGCGCACGGGUGCGUAACACGUGAGCAAUCUGCCGGGAAGUGGGGGAUAGCUCGCCGAAAGGCGAAUUAAUACCGCAUGUGGCUAUCUUUUGAUUAAUGGAAAAGCCAAAGCAGCAAUGCGCUUCCUGAUGAGCUCGCGGCCUAUCAGCUAGAUGGCGGGGUAAAAGCCCACCAUGGCGAUGACGGGUAGCUGGUCUGAGAGGACGACCAGCCACACUGGAACUGAGAUACGGUCCAGACACCUACGGGUGGCAGCAGUCGAGAAUUUUUCACAAUGGGGGCAACCCUGAUGGAGCGACGCCGCGUGGAGGAUGAAGGCCUUCGGGUUGUAAACUCCUGUCAUGCGGGAACAAGAAAGUGAUAGUACCGCAAGAGGAAGAGACGGCUAACUCUGUGCCAGCAGCCGCGGUAAUACAGAGGUCUCAAGCGUUGUUCGGAUUCAUUGGGCGUAAAGGGUGCGUAGGUGGUGAUGCAAGUCUGGUGUGAAAUCUCGGAGCUUAACUCCGAAAUUGCACCGGAUACUGCGUUGCUCGAGGACUGUAGAGGAGAUCGGAAUUCACGGUGUAGCAGUGAAAUGCGUAGAUAUCGUGAGGAAGACCAGUUGCGAAGGCGGAUCUCUGGGCAGUUCCUGACACUGAGGCACGAAGGCCAGGGGAGCAAACGGGAUUAGAUACCCUAGUAGUCC